UGACCGCUUAUUAUAAGCUGAGGCUACACGGACGGCCGGGUCAAAUGCCGA
rnacentral:sRNA from 2 species